GACGAACGCUGGCGGCGUGCUUAACACAUGCAAGUCGAACGGAAAGGCUCCAGCUUGCUGGAGUACUCGAGUGGCGAACGGGUGAGUAACACGUGGGUAAUCUGCCCUGCACUCUGGGAUAAGCCUGGGAAACUGGGUCUAAUACUGGAUAUGACCUUUCUCCUUAUGGGGUUUGGUGGAAAGUUUUUCGGUUUAGGAUGAGCCCGCGGCCUAUCAGCUUGUUGGUGGGGUGAUGGCCUACCAAGGCGUCGACGGGUAGCCGGCCUGAGAGGGUGAUCGGCCACAUUGGGACUGAGAUACGGCCCAGACUCCUACGGGAGGCAGCAGUGGGGAAUAUUGCACAAUGGGCGGAAGCCUGAUGCAGCGACGCCGCGUGAGGGAUGACGGCCUUCGGGUUGUAAACCUCUUUCAGCAGGGACGAAGCGUAAGUGACGGUACCUGCAGAAGAAGCACCGGCUAACUACGUG
rnacentral:rRNA from 1 species